rnacentral:rRNA from 1 species
GAUGAACGCUGGCGGCGUGCCUAAUACAUGCAAGUCGAGCGAACAGAUGAGGAGCUUGCUCCUCUGACGUUAGCGGCGGACGGGUGAGUAACACGUGGAUAACCUACCUAUAAGACUGGGAUAACUUCGGGAAACCGGAGCUAAUACCGGAUAAUUUAUUGAACCGCAUGGUUCAAUAGUUAAAGUCGGUUUUGCUGUCACUUAUAGAUGGAUCCGCGCCGCAUUAGCUAGUUGGUAAGGUAACGGCUUACCAAGGCAACGAUGCGUAGCCGACCUGAGAGGGUGAUCGGCCACACUGGAACUGAGACACGGUCCAGACUCCUACGGGAGGCAGCAGUAGGGAAUCUUCCGCAAUGGGCGAAAGCUGGACGGAGCAACGCCGCGUGAGUGAUGAAGUUCUUCGGAUCGUAAAACUCUGUUAUUAGGGAAGAACAAAUGUGUAAGUAACUAUGCACGUCUUGACGGUACCUAAUCAGAAAGCCACGGCUAACUACGUG